UACGUAGGUGGCAAGCGUUGUCCGGAAUUAUUGGGCGUAAAGGGCGCGUAGGUGGCCUGAUAAGUAGGGAGUGAAAUCUCGAGGCUCAACUUCGAGGCUGCCUUCUAAACUGUCGGGCUUGAGCAGAGUAGAGGCAGGUGGAAUUCCCGGUGUAGCGGUGGAAUGCGUAGAGAUCGGGAAGAACAUCGGUGGCGAAGGCGGCCUGCUGGGCUCUUGCUGACACUGAGGCGCGACAGCGUGGGGAGCAAACAGG
rnacentral:rRNA from 1 species